UAGGGAAUCGUCGGCAAUGGACGAAAGUCUGACCGAGCAACGCCGCGUGAGUGAAGAAGGUUUUCGGAUCGGAAAACUCUGUUGUUAGAGAAGAACAAGGACGUUAGUAACGGAACGUCCCCUGACGGUAUCUAACCAGAAAGCCACGGCGAACUACGUGCCAGCAGCCGCGGGAAUACGUAGGUGGCAAGCGUUGUCCGGAGUUAUUGGGCGUAAAGCGAGCGCAGGCGGUUUCUUAAGGCGGAUGUGAAAGCCCCCGGGUCAACCGGGGAGGGUCAUUGGAAACUGGGAGACUUGAGUGCAGAAGAGGAGAGUGGAAUUCCAUGUGUAGCGGUGAAAUGCGUAGAUAUAUGGAGGAACACCAGCGGCGAAGGCGGCUCUCUGGUCUGUAACUGACGCUGAGGCUCGAAAGCGUGGGGAGCAAACAGG
rnacentral:rRNA from 1 species